rnacentral:lncRNA from 1 species
GGACUAUAUCGUGUGAUGUGACCUUGAAAAAUAAUUUACGUACAAGUCUUGAAAGCAAAUCAAGUUUUAAAACAAAGUAGCAUCUACUCUGCCCCAGCCUUGACAUCUAUUACAAAGCAAAUGCUGGCUCUUUAAUUUCCCUAAUCAAGACUGGCCCUAUUUAGCCCACCUCCUCAAGGGGUCCCAGCACUAGCCCCACUCAGAUGCCUGAUGAAGUCCCAGAAUAGUGGAAUCGAGCACAGAGAUGGGCACACCUCUUUACAGAACCAAAGUUUCAGAACCAUGCCUUACCCUUUGCUUAUGAGGCAGAGGAGGAGGAAGAGAAAGAACCACCACAAAGAGAGAUGGCAACAAAGGUAAAAUGAAGGCUGGGCCGCUGGGCCGCCGAUCCCACUCAGGCUGACCACAGUGAGGGAGCAGCAUUAAAAUGAGAAAUGAUCAGGUUUCAGAAGCCCAGCCCUUCCUGCUGAGUCUCGUCCUUUGCUUCAUCCAUUCCAUUAAAUAAGUCAUAUUGAAAAUAAAUUAUUAUUAAUACAACAGUA